UGUUGCCUGCUUUACUUUCUUGUAUUUAUUAAAUUCCAUGGGCCAUAGUAUUUGUUGAAAAGUAUUUUUUUCUGAACAAAUUUCAAGUCUUCUUAAACUAAUUAUCUAUUGCAUAAAUAUCAGCUUCAUAGACCCCAUAAAGAUCAUUUUACCUCCCAUGUUCUACUCAUAGUAAAACCAUACCCUGUUAGUCUCAGCACAACCAAUUUUAUAUUUAAUCUAGAUAGUUUCAUUAUGAUUUAUUCCAUGUGUAGUCAAGGGUUUCAAUAUAAUGAAAUUUGAUGCCACUGUCGUUCAAGUGAGAUGGGUGUAGCGACAUAAAAAUAGGUUCAAUCCACCAUUUUCUACAUUUUUUUUACCUGUACCAAGUCAGGAAUAUGACAGUUGUUGUCCAUUAGUUUUUAUGUGUUUAUCACUUGAUUUUGCCAUUUAACUUUUCCACCUAGGAGUUCAAUAUUUUUGUGAUUUUACUUUUUUCAAGAAAUAAAGGUCAAAACAACAAAGAAAAAAAGUGUGGAAAACUGAUUUGCCGCAGUGACUGAUGUACAGACAGACAGACAGACAUAAGAAGUGCAAUCCUGAAGCUAACCCCUUCAAUGUCGUUGGUAGGGGACUAAUAACUAAAACUUCUGAAUAACCAUUCAAAGGUUGCUUCUAACUAGAUUAUGUUGCCUUCAAAAUAAAGGGUAAGCUGUAAUAGUAACAAAGCAAAGGUAAAUAAAA
rnacentral:lncRNA from 1 species